GAUGAACGCUGGCGGCGUGCUUAACACAUGCAAGUCGAACGGAAAGGCCGAAGCUUGCUUCGGUACUCGAGUGGCGAACGGGUGAGUAACACGUGGGUGAUCUGCCCUGUACUUCGGGAUAAGCUUGGGAAACUGGGUCUAAUACCGGAUAUGACAAUCUCUUGGAUGGGGUUGUGGAAAGCUUUUGCGGUAUGGGAUGAGCUCGCGGCCUAUCAGCUUGUUGGUGGGGUAAUGGCCUACCAAGGCGUCGACGGGUAGCCGGCCUGAGAGGGUGUACGGCCACAUUGGGACUGAGGUACGGCCCAGACUCCUACGGGAGGCAGCAGUGGGGAAUAUUGCACAAUGGGCGCAAGCCUGAUGCAGCGACGCCGCGUGGGGGAUGACGGCCUUCGGGUUGUAAACUCCUUUCGCAACCGACGAAGCUUUUGUGACGGUAGGUUGAGAAGAAGCACCGGCUAACUACGUG
rnacentral:rRNA from 1 species